rnacentral:tRNA from 2 species
GACCCAGUAGCUCAGUCGGCAGAGCACCUGCCUUUUAAGCAGGGUGUCCGGAGUUCGAAUCUCCGCUGGGUCA